UACGUAGGGUGCGAGCGUUAAUCGGAAUUACUGGGCGUAAAGCGUGCGCAGGCGGUUCGUCGUGUCCGAUGUGAAAGCCCCGGGCUCAACCUGGGAAUGGCAUUGGAAACUGGCGGGCUUGAGUGUGGCAGAGGGGGGUGGAAUUCCGCGUGUAGCAGUGAAAUGCGUAGAGAUGCGGAGGAACACCGAUGGCGAAGGCGGCAUCCUGGACCAAUUCUGACACUGAGGAGCGAAAGCCAGGGGAGCAAACGGG
rnacentral:rRNA from 1 species